rnacentral:rRNA from 1 species
GACGAACCGAGCGAACGUUGUUCGGAAUCACUGGGCUUAAAGGGCGCGUAGGCGGGCUGCCAAGUCUGGGGUGAAAGCCCCCGGCUCAACCGGGGAAGGGCCUCAGAUACUGGCGGCCUGGAGGGGGGUAGGGGCGUGCGGAACUGUGGGUGGAGCGGUGAAAUGCGUUGAGAUCCACAGGAACUCCGGUGGCGAAGGCGGCACGCUGGACCCCAUCUGACGCUGAGGCGCGAAAGCCAGGGGAGCGAACGGG